UCAUUAAAGAGUUCUAUAACUCCCAAACCCAUGUGAACAUACCAUACGUUGCCUCGGCAGGUCGCGCCUACCCCGUAGCGUCCUACCCUGUAGGACCUACCCGGUAGACGCGGGUAAGCCUGCCGGCGGCCCAAGAAACUCUGUUUAGUAUUGAAUUCUGAACCUAUAACUAAAUAAGUUAAAACUUUCAACAACGGAUCUCUUGGUUCUGGCAUCGAUGAAGAACGCAGCGAAAUGCGAUAAGUAAUGUGAAUUGCAGAAUUCAGUGAAUCAUCGAAUCUUUGAACGCACAUUGCGCCCAUUAGUAUUCUAGUGGGCAUGCCUGUUCGAGCGUCAUUUCAACCCUUAAGCCCUCGUUGCUUAGUGUUGGGAGCCUACGGUACCCGUAGCUCCUCAAAGUUAGUGGCGGAGUCGGUUCACACUCUAGACGUAGUAAUUUUAUCUCGCCUAUCAGUUGGACCGGUCCCCUGCCGUAAAACACACCAAUUUCUAAAGGUUGACCUCGGAUCAGGUAGGAAUACCCGCUGAACUUAAGCAUAUCAAUAAGC
rnacentral:rRNA from 1 species